rnacentral:lncRNA from 1 species
UUGGAACAGUCACAGAGAAAAGUGAACUCCUUUCAUUCUUGCAGUAAUUUUUCUUGCUGAUGGGAACAGUUCAAGUCAAGUGACAUAACCUACUGGGUUGGUGACAUUUACAAGACAGAGUCUUGAGGAUUUUCCAGAACGGGAAAGAUUUUGAAAGAACAAAGAGGAACUACAGAAUCAUUGCUUACAUUGACACCGGCCCUAUUGUCCCAAUGGAUGGGUUUUUUUUUGGAUCAAUGUCAAAAUUGACCCUGCUGUUAAAGCUUGAAACUUGGAUCUGUUGUAUCUGAGUUCUCUCCUCAAAAAAAAGACCUUCAGGAAGUAUCAGAUAACUGAAACAUACCAGAUCACAGCACCACAUGCCUCCUGCCCCUCCCUAAUUUCUGUUCUCUUAUACAUUGUUAAAUUUCUUUCCUGCCCCUAUUAGUCAAGCCCAUGGAUUUAAGACUGAGCUCCCAGCUCCUGGGCUGCAGCACCAGGUUAAAGC